AUAACAAGAAUAAAAAGCCGCAAACCAAUAAAAACAAGACGAAACGACUCUGACAUAACAAGAACAACACGGCAGAGACGCAGCUAACAGAUUUUUUUGGAGAAGGUGUGCUUUUCAGGGUGCUCUCAGGAGUGACCCGCAACCGGGCAGAGAACAAUAAAACUACCUUCAGGUAGCUCCCGAAUCGGUUGGAUCGUUAACGAAAAAGCAGAUCAGCGCUCAAAAAAAUACGUUUGCUCUUGACCCCGGAUGGGGGUCGCCAAAAGCUGUACAGGGCCACGGUUGCCAAAAACAACAACAGACCGACCCUCAAUAAUAAAAAGAGCACGCAACGACAAAUUAAAGGGGAGCUUCGGCUCCCCUUUGUGCUUUCUGUGAUUCGUCUCUCUAUCACUG
rnacentral:sRNA from 1 species